rnacentral:lncRNA from 1 species
UUUCACAGGAACACUGUCCCCUCCAAACGCAGUGACUUUUAUCCCCCGCCCCUUCUCCGGCCUGCCUCACCAGGGCGCACACGCUUCUUGGCCCCGGUCGGCUGGCUGUGAUUGGCGCCGGCGGCCCCAACAGAUGACGGAGGAGACAAAGUGAUGGCUGCAGGUCGUCUGAGGUCCCACCCCGGCCACGUGCGGCUUCUGUGAUGACAGGACCAGAAGGGCGGGGCUUUGGCUGACUAGCUAGGCCUGUGUAUAGGUAUGUGUGUGUGAGCCUAGGUGCCUGAGGAGUCUAGAAGAGAAUGUCAGAUCCCCUAGAGCUGGAGCUGGAGCUGGAGCUGGAGCUGCAGGGAGCUGUUUGAACUCAGGCCAUCAGGAUUGGCAGCAAGCCAUUUUACCCCCUGAGCCAAUCGACUUUGGGGUUUUCUUAAUUACAUCAUGGGAAGGUCCAUCUUGAAUGCUAUGGAUGUACGCAGCUCCCUCAAGCCUUUGCACUGUGGCCUCCCUGCCAUGAUGAACUGUAACUUGGAACUGUGAUAUAAAACACACCCCUACCUAAG